rnacentral:rRNA from 1 species
GAUGAACGCUGGCGGCGUGCCUAACACAUGCAAGUCGAACGAAGCAAUUAGAAUGAAGUUUUCGGAUGGAUUUUUAAUUGACUGAGUGGCGGACGGGUGAGUAACGCGUGGAUAACCUGCCUCGCACUGGGGGAUAACAGUUAGAAAUGACUGCUAAUACCGCAUAAGCGUACGCUACCGCAUGGUAGCGUGUGAAAAACUCCGGUGGUGUGAGAUGGAUCCGCGUCUGAUUAGCUAGUUGGUGGGGUAACGGCCUACCAAGGCAACGAUCAGUAGCCGACCUGAGAGGGUGACCGGCCACAUUGGGACUGAGACACGGCCCAA